GUACUAAUAAUCCGUAAAGCUUGAUGCGAUUCCCACGCCUUGCAAAAGGUGUGGGGACUUGAAUGCUAUUACCAAAGUCUUUCUUUAUUCUUUGUUUCUUAAAUAUGUCAACUUAUUAGAGUAGGCAGUUGUAAGUAAAAGAGUGGGUAGUAACAAUACUGCGAACUUAUAGACUGUAAACUGUUUACUAAAGACUUAAGGUGGUUAUGGCAACGGGGCUCACCUCUUCCCAUUCCGAACAGAGAAGUUAAGCCCGUUAGCGCAGAUGGUACUGCUAUUUGUGGGAGAGUAUGUCACCGCCUUUU
rnacentral:rRNA from 1 species